rnacentral:rRNA from 1 species
GACGAACGCUGGCGGCGUGCCUAAUACAUGCAAGUAGGGCGCAGUUGCGAACGCGUGAGUAACGCGUAGGUAAGUGCAUAUUAGAGGGGGAUAACCAUUAGAAACGAUAGCUAAUACCGCAUACUAGUAGAUGGACCUGGGUUGUAUUGGCUAGUAGGGCGGGUAAUGGCCUAACCAGGGGACGAUACAUUGCCGAGCUGGGAGGGAUAUCGGGCAAAACUGGACUGAGACACGGCCCAGACCCCUUCGGGAGGCAGCAAUAGGGGAACUUCGGCAAUUGGGGGAACCCUGACCGAGCAACGCCGCGUGAGUGGAGAAGGUUUUCCGAUCGUAAAGCUCUGUUGUGAAGGAAGCGUUACUUACCCAGAAAGGAACGGCUAACUACGUGCCAGCAGCCGCGGUAAUUC